CAGCAGCCACGGGAACACGGAGGAUCCAAGCGUUAUCCGGAAUCAUUGGGUUUAAAGGGUCCGUAGGCGGUCUUGUAAGUCAGUGGUGAAAGCCCAUCGCUCAACGGUGGAACGGCCAUUGAUACUGCAGGACUUGAAUUAUUGGGAAGUAACUAGAAUAUGUAGUGUAGCGGUGAAAUGCUUAUAGAUUACAUGGAAUACCAAUUGCGAAGGCAGGUUACUACCAAUUGAUUGACGCUGAUGGACGAAAGCGUGGGUAGCGAACAGGAUUAGAUACCCCCGUAGUCCCUGUCUCUUAUAC
rnacentral:rRNA from 1 species